GAAAGUAAAUAAGGGCGCAUGGCGGAUGCCUUGGCUCUCGGAGGCGAUGAAGGACGUGAUAAGCUGCGAUAAGCUUUGGGGAGGUGCAAAUGACCUUUGAUCCAGAGAUUUCCGAAUGGGACAACCCAAUAUCUUGAAGAGGUAUUAUCCAACGUGGUUGGAGGCUAACGCAGGGAACUGAAACAUCUUAGUACCUGCAGGAAAAGAAAAUAAAUAAUGAUUCCCCUAGUAGUGGCGAGCGAACGGGGAUUAGCCCAAACCACCCAUGUUACGGCAUGUGUGGGGUUGUAGGACCACGCUCUCGCAAGACAGUUAUUGAGAAGAAACGACUGGAAAGUCGUGCCAUAGACGGUGAUAGCCCGGUAUUCUAAGGUAACCGAAGCGUAGUGGUAUCCUGAGUAGCGCGGAGCACGAGGAAUUCUGCGUGAAUCAGCCGGGACCAUCCGGUAAGGCUAAAUACUCCCGAGAGACCGAUAGCGAACCAGUACUGUGAAGGAAAGGUGAAAAGCACUUCGAAUAGAAGAGUGAAAUAGUCCCUGAAACCAUGCGCCUACAAGCGGUCGGAGCAGCUUCAGCUGUGACGGCGUGCCUUUUGCAUAAUGAACCUACGAGUUACUUUUUCCGGCAAGGUUAAGCAUCUUGAGAUGUGGAUCCGAAGCGAAAGCGAGUCUGAACAGGGCGGAUAGUCGGAAGGAGUAGACGCGAAACCAAGUGAUCUACCCUUGGGCAGGUUGAAGGUUAGGUAACACUAACUGGAGGACCGAACCGAUAAGCGUUGAAAAGCUUCCGGAUGACCUGAGGGUGGGGGUGAAAGGCUAAUCAAACUUGGAGAUAGCUCGUACUCCCCGAAAUGCAUUUAGGUGCAGCCUUGCGGGUUACUGAUGUGAGGUAGAGCGACUGAUAAGAUGCGAGGGCUUCACCGCCUAUCAAGUCUUGAUAAACUCCGAAUGCGCAUUAGUUCUAUCUCAGGAGUGAGGGCAUGGGUGCUAAGGUCCAUGUCCUAAAGGAGAAGAAUCCAGACCAUCAGCUAAGGUCCCCAAAUAAACACUAAGUUGAACUAACGAAGUCAGAUUGCUAAGACAGCUAGGAUGUUGGCUUGGAAGCAGCCAUUCAUUUAAAGAGUGCGUAACAGCUCACUAGUCGAGGAGUUUGGCGUGGAUAAUAAUCGGGCAUAAGUGUUUUACCGAAGCUAUGGGAUCCUAACGGAUCGGUAGGGGAGCAUUCCACUCAGCGUUGAAGGCGAAGCGUGAGCUUUACUGGAGCGUGUGGAAAAGCAAAUGUAGGUAUAAGUAACGAUAAAGGGGGUGAGAAACCCCCUCGCCGCAAGACUAAGGUUUCCUGAUCAACGCUAAUCGGAUCAGGGUUAGUCGGGUCCUAAGGCUCAGCCGAACGGUGAGGCCGAUGGCAGAACAGGUUAAUAUUCCUGUACUACCUAUAGGAGUGAUGUGGAGACGGAGGAGUGACAACGCCGCGGACUGACGGAAUAGUCCGUUAAAGGGUGUAGAUGUUGAUUAUCCCAGGCAAAUCCGGGAUAAGAGUCGAACCUGAUAGUAUACCAAUUUCCUCGGAAAACGGUAAUAGUGCGUGUAAACAUACUCCCAAGAAAAUCCGCUAAACUUAAUCUUAUAGGUACCCGUACCGUAAACGGACACACGUAGUCGGGUUGAAUAUACUCAGGCGCUUGAGUGAAUCACGGUUAAGGAACUAGGCAAAUUGACCCUGUAACUUCGGGAUAAAGGGUCCCUACCCGGUGACGGGAGGGCGCAGAGAAUAGGUCCAGGCAACUGUUUAACAAAAACACAGGGCUGUGCAAAAUUGAAAGAUCACGUAUACAGCCUGACACCUGCCCGGUGCUGGAAGGUUAAGAGGAGAUGUCAUCGCAAGAGAAGCAUUGAAUUGAAGCCCCAGUAAACGGCGGCCGUAACUAUAACGGUCCUAAGGUAGCGAAAUUCCUUGUCGGGUAAGUUCCGACCUGCACGAAUGGUGUAAUGAUCUGGACGCUGUCUCAACCGUGAGCUCAGUGAAAUUGUAGUAUCGGUGAAGAUGCCGAUUACCCGCGAUGGGACGAAAAGACCCCGUGAACCUUUACUAUAGCUUAACAUUGAAUUUGGGUAAUUGAUGUGUAGGAUAGGCCGGAGACUUUGAAGCAGGCACGCCAGUGUUUGUGGAGUCGCUGUUGAAAUACGGCCCUUUGGUUAUUUGAGUUCUAACUCGCUGAUGCGAGGACACUGUUUGGUGGGUAGUUUGACUGGGGUGGUCGCCUCCAAAAGCGUAACGGAGGCUUCUA
rnacentral:rRNA from 1 species